rnacentral:tRNA from 1 species
GCCUGGGUGGCUCAGUCAGUUGAGCGUCCGACUUCGGCUCAGGUCAUGAUCUCGCAGUCCGUGGGUUCGAGCCCCGCAUCGGGCU